rnacentral:rRNA from 1 species
GCGUUGUCCGGAAUUAUUGGGCGUAAAGAGCGUGUAGGCGGUUCGGUAAGUCCGCUGUGAAAGUCCAGGGCUCAACCCUGGAAAGCCGGUGGAUACUGCCGGGCUAGAGUCCGGAAGAGGCGAGUGGAAUUCCUGGUGUAGCGGUGAAAUGCGCAGAUAUCAGGAGGAACACCGAUGGCGAAGGCAGCUCGCUGGGACGGUACUGACGCUGAGACGCGAAAGCGUG